rnacentral:rRNA from 1 species
GUAAGGGAUAUUGCGACAAUGGACGAAAGUCUGACGCAGCAACGCCGCGUGCGGGAUGAAGGCCUUCGGGUCGUAAACCGCUUUUCUGCCGGAAGAGGAAGGACGGUAAGGCAGGAAGAAGUCUCGGCUAACUACGUGCCAGCAGCCGCGGUAAAACGUAGGAGGCGAGCGUUAUCCGGAUUUACUGGGUGUAAAGCGCGUGUAGGCGGCUAGGUAAGUGGAGCGUGAAAGCGCCCGGCUCAACCGGGCGAGGUCGUUCCAGACUGCCGAGCUAGAGGUAGGUAGAGGCGGGUGGAAUUCCGGGUGUAGUGGUGAAAUGCGUAGAGAUCCGGAGGAACACCAGUGGCGCAAGCGACCCGCUGGGCCUGACCUGACGCUCAGACGCGAAAGCAUGGGGAGCGAACGGGAUUAGAAACCCGUGUAGUCC